ensembl:lncRNA
UCUCUGUUAAAAGGUUUUUAUUUAACGUUCUGAAUUCGAGGUAAAAUACUUUUAUUUUUCGCUUUUUUUUUUUAACUUUUUUCCGUGUUUUUUUUUUUUCAACUUCCAUAACAAAAUACGGAGCUAUGGGAUACCCCUGGAAAAAAAUAUGUAUAUUAUCCAUAAAUUUCUCUAGCAUUCCAUCAUAUAUAUAUAUAAUAUAUAUAUGCAACCCUUUCUUAAAUCUGAUUUUAAUAGAAAUCGGAAUUUAAUUUUAAAGGCACAAAUUUCGGAUUUUUUGUCUUUUUUUUUUUGUUUUGUUUUUUUUUUGCCCCUCUACUUUACACCCUAUGUACAAAGCCACGCUCCCCGUCCCCAAAUUCCAUCGAUUUUCCCGAAGGAUUCCUGCCGGAUUCCCACCGGGGAGAGUUCAAAUCCCUCAAAAUCCCUCGAAAAAGGGGUUUUUUCAACCCGAAAAAAAGCGUAAAUAUCGGUUUAAAAAGCGCUAAAAAAUCAAAGUAUUUCCCGGAAAAUCCAAAGUUUUUCCGGAGUUUUGAUGAUUUCAACCGAGAGAAAAUUCCUGGGUUUUUAUUUUUAAUCCCACCAGGAUGCUGAGACGCGAAAAAAAAGAAAGAAACCAACGGAAUAACAGCUUAAAAUAAUAAAAAACCUCAACAUAAUUAUGGAAUAAAUAAAAAAAUCCGGGACAACCCCAUUAAUGCUGUUGGAUUUUUCCUCCUUUUCCUCCUUCUUGGGGAAAUUCCUCCCCAAAAAUUGCCCCUGUUUGGGGCUGUCCCAUCAAAAAGUCUUUUUUUUUUUUUUUAACUUUUUGAUUUUUUAAACAUUUUUCCUACGGAUUUGCUACGAAAAAGAAGCAAAAUUAACGAAAAAAAAAAACAACUGCUGGAAAAAACGGGAUCAUGCUCCGGGGCAAAUUCGUCCAGGAGAGAAUUCCAACCAUUCCCAACUUCCCAUGGGUUUGUUUGUUGUUCAAUGGUUUGGCACGGUGGAAUUUUAGGAAUUUUUCCUUGAAAUUUCAGAUUUUUUUCAUAAAAUUUUGAUCUGGUUGAUUUUUUUUUCCUUUAAAUCAGUUUUUGGUUUUUUUUGACCUUUUCCUUCUCCUCUUCCUGCUUUUUCUUUUUGUUUUUCCUCCUCCUGGGCUCCGUUGGGAAUUCUGGAAUUCCCGAGAGGCGCCGGAUCCGUCGUCCUGAGUCCGGAAUUCCCUGAACUCUCCCAAGUUUUUUAUUUUCAUUUCCACUUUUAAUCUUGGUUUUGUUUUUUGUUUUUUUUUUUUUUGCAGUGCAAUGGCUGUGACGAGAAACUCCAACAUUCCCACCCUUCCCAAAAAACUCGCAAUCCCAAAAAAUCCUUUUUUAAAGCCACAAAAAUUCCAACUUUUUUUCCUUCUCUUCCCGUGGGAUUUUGAUUCCAAAGGAUUGGAGAGGAGGGGUGGGAAAAAUCCGGGAUUUUCCCCCCUUUUUUUGUUUUUGUUUCUCCCGACGGUUCCGGCGCUGGGAUUUGGGAUCUGCGGGAAUUCCGGGAAAGGCCCCUCGUGUGAUUCCUGAGUUCGUCCUGGCGCCUCUCCGGUCGCUUUUUUGGGAUCAUCCAGGGCUUCUCCACCCCAGCUCCUCCCAACUGCACAUUCCAAGGGUCCCAGGCCCGGCCGGGCUGGGAAUUUGGGAAUCGCUCCCGGGAUCCCAGCAGGGAAUUUCCUCCCCCAGCCCGGAAUUCCCAAAAUCCGAGCUCCGAGAGCGAAUCCUGGGCAGCUCCCGGCUCCGUCCCGGCGCUUCCCGAGGGUCGGUCCCGCUGGGAGCCCAAUCCGGAGCCUUCGGAAUUCCGCUGCUGCGCGGGGGAACGGCGGCGUUUGGGAUUUCCCCCCAAAAACCAGGAAGGAUCCACGACAUCCGAGCGCUCCCGGAAAAAAUUCCCAGAAAAAGUCCAAACGUGGUUUGUUUUUCUUUUCUUUAAGGCAUGAGUCAAACGGGGAGAAAAGGGCGGGGGAGGGUCCAAAAAUCUGGGAAUGGUGCCGGGAAUUCCGGCAUUCCCGGGGACUCACCACAAUCAUUCCAGCGCUCCUUCCAAGCAUUCCCAAAAAUUCCACCCACACGGAUUCCGGAGCGGGGAAAAAAUCCCCGCUCCGGGCACACAGAAACAAAAAAAACCAAACCCCAACAUAUUUAAUGCGUUAGGAUUAAAGGCAUCCGGUUAAUUUUGUGUUAUUUCCCGUUCCCAUUCCCUGAAAAAGUUUGGAGUUUUGCUCAUGGCUUUCUGAGAGAGAGAGAGAGAGAGAGAGAGAGAGAGAGAAAGAAAGGCGGGAAAAGGGGAAUUUUCCCCGGAAAUCCGCCGCGGGAACGACGCGGCCUCCAUCCCGAUUCUCCGAGAGUUUUUCCUGAAUCCUUUUCCCCCCCGCCCCAGCCCCGCUCCGUGGACAGUGCAAAAUUCCCGAUGCAAAAUUCCCAAGCUCCUCCUUUUCCCAAAAAAACAAAAAAAAAAAACAAAAAAAAAAAAAAG